UGAGUAACCUGCCCUUAACUCUGGGAUAAGCCUGGGAAACUGGGUCUAAUACCGGAUAUGACUCCUCAUCGCAUGGUGGGGGGUGGAAAGCUUUAUUGCGGUUUUGGAUGGGACUCGCGGCCUAUCAGCUUGUUGGUGAGGUAAUGGCUCACCAAGGCGACGACGGGUAGCCGGCCUGAGAGGGUGACCGGCCACACUGGGACUGAGACACGGCCCAGACCUCCGUACGGGGAGGCGG
rnacentral:rRNA from 1 species